rnacentral:rRNA from 1 species
GAUGAACGCUGGCGGCGUGCCUAACACAUGCAAGUCGAGCGGGAUUCAUGAGGACGAAACUUCGGUCUAGAAAUCAUGAUGAGAGCGGCGGACGGGUGAGUAACGCGUAGGCAACCUGCCCUUAGCACAGGGAUAGCCUCGGGAAACCGGGAUUAAAACCUGAUAAUGCCAAACAGCCACAUGGCUGUUUGGCCAAAGCUUUAUCGGCUAAGGAUGGGCCUGCGUCUGAUUAGUUAGUUGGUGGGGUAAUGGCCUACCAAGACGACGAUCAGUAGCCGACCUGAGAGGGUGAUCGGCCACAUUGGAACUGAGACACGGUCCAAACUCCUACGGGAGGCAGCAGUGGGGAAUAUUGCACAAUGGGCGAAAGCCUGAUGCAGCAACGCCGCGUGAGCGAUGAAGGCCUUUGGGUCGUAAAGCUCUGUCCUAGGGGACGAACACAAUGACGGUACCCUUGGAGGAAGCCCCGGCUAACUACGUGCCAGCCGCCGCAGUAAGAC